rnacentral:rRNA from 1 species
AUCAACGCUGGCGGCGCGCCUAACACAUGCAAGUCGAGCGAGAAAGUCCCCGCAAGGGGAUGAGUACAGCGGCGCACGGGUGAGUAACACGUGGGCAAUCUGCCCUCCAGUGGGGGAUAACCCGGGGAAACCUGGGCUAAUACCGCGUAACAUCUUCUUUCCUGCGGGAGAGGGGAUCAAAGGAGCAAUUCGCUGGAGGAGGGGCCCGCGGCCGAUUAGCUAGUUGGCGGGGUAACGGCCCACCAAGGCAACGAUCGGUAGCCGGUCUGAGAGGACGCACGGCCACACUGGGACUGAAACACGGCCCAGACUCCUACGGGAGGCAGCAGUGGGGAAUCUUGCACAAUGGGGGAAACCCUGAUGCAGCGACGCCGCGUGAGCGAUGAAGCCCUUCGGGGCGUAAAGCUCUUUCGGCGGGGAAGAUGGUGACGGUACCCGCAAAAAGAAGCCCCGGCGUAACUACGUAGCCA